rnacentral:tRNA from 1 species
GGGUGGUUAGCUCAGCUGGUAGAGCAUCGCCCUUACAAGGCGAGGGUCACUGGUUCGACUCCAGUACCACCCACCA